rnacentral:rRNA from 1 species
GAUGAACGCUGGCGGCGUGCUUAACACAUGCAAGUCGAACGAUGAAGCCCUGCUUGCUGGGUGGAUUAGUGGCGAACGGGUGAGUAACACGUGAGUAACCUGCCCUUAACUCUGGGAUAAGCCUGGGAAACUGGGUCUAAUACCGGAUAGGAGCGUCCACCGCAUGGUGGGUGUUGGAAAGAUUUAUCGGUUUUGGAUGGACUCGCGGCCUAUCAGCUUGUUGGUGAGGUAAUGGCUCACCAAGGCGACGACGGGUAGCCGGCCUGAGAGGGUGACCGGCCACACUGGGACUGAGACACGGCCCAGACUCCUACGGGAGGCAGCAGUGGGGAAUAUUGCACAAUGGGCGCAAGCCUGAUGCAGCGACGCCGCGUGAGGGAUGACGGCCUUCGGGUUGUAAACCUCUUUCAGUAGGGAAGAAGCGAAAGUGACGGUACCUGCAGAAGAAGCACCGGCUAACUACGUG